AUCUGUGCGAAGUGUCGUUCUUUUGGACUCUGCGAAUUUCAAGUUUCUGAAACGAAAUACCUAGACUAAUUAUCUGUUUAUAGAAUUGAUGUUCGAAAUCAUGGUUUCUGAGUGAACUUCAUUGGAGCAGAAAAUCUUGGAGGGAACAUCAGUACUAUUCUAAUGACAUUCCAUUGGAAUAAAAAUCCAAUUGGACCAAGUUCUUAGCAGUUCACACCUAGUCAGAAGUACAAAAUUGAGAACCAUGCCGAUCAGCAAGUGUUAGUUACAAUGUAAUGAGGAACAGGAUAUCUGAAUGGAAAAAUUGCAAGGUUUCCCACUUCCCAAGCUGUUUAAGUACUGGUAUCGCAACAUAAGUGCCAAGAAGAGAUAUGAAGGCCAAGUUAAUAAAAAGUAUUUACUUCAUUGCAAUAGCACAUUAAAAAUGAAUUAAUUUGAAAUAUUAAUAAAUCAUUGAAUGUUACUUAAACUACACAUCUGUAGAAAAGAGUGCGGUACAAGUUCAGGUUCAUCACAGGGGCCUCGGAACGGUUUUCAAAGUUGGGGGCUGACCAUGCAAAAAAUCACAAUCGUAUGGUCAAGUUUACGUUUUUGUACAUGGUUUUGGAAAAAAGUGGGGGGCUAAAGCCCACCCACCCACCCCCCCCCCCCGGUUCCACGGCCCCUGCAUCACCGGGCAAUGACAUUGAAGUAUACAAGUUUUGGUACAAAAUUUCACACAAAAUACAAGUAAGAAAUAUUUUUUCAACGGGCAAAUGUAUCCCCUUUUAAUGAUAUUUUGUGCUUCUACUAGUUCUUAGUAGUUUUCAUUAAAAUAAAUAUUAUUUUCCAGUUUAAAGGCCUAUUCAAUAUUAGAAUAGGUCUUCUUUUAGUGACAUACUUAGGGUUGUAAGACCAAAAAUAUUGUAUUUUGAAAUAAAAAUCAUGCAUAGCUAAAUGAUAAUAAAGGUGAUCAGAAGAUUAAGAAAUAAUGUUAGUAUCACUCCUGGACCUCAUUUCAUAAACAAGUUAUUACUAUUGCAAUCUUGUCAUUAUGACAAUUAUGGUAAAAGGGCUGAGCAAGAAAUUAAGGUUUUUAUGUUACCUAAAACAGGCUGGGGGCAAAGUUUCCAUGAUUACAAGUCUUCAGUGGCAUAACUAUGGGGGGGCACUUGCCCCCCCCCCCCAAUCAGCUGACAAAAAACGAGGAAAAGGAGAGAGGAAGAGAAACGUAGUGGGAAAGAAAAAAUAAUUGUUCAUUAUAAUGUUAUAUUAUAUUAUAAUUGUGUUAUGUUAUAUUACAAAGAAUUUUUUUUUCAUAACUUUAUGAAACAUAAUUUGCUCAUGGCCUAUGUCUUCAUUGUUCCUGGUGCGCGCACUGUCUGUUUAACUAGAUAUUUAAUCAUGUACUAAAACCUCCCGUUUUCAAGUCAAUAUAUACCAAAUAUAUUUCGUCGCACUUCGAGUUAUUAUAUUGUUUUAUGUAAAAUAGUAUGCUUCUUUUUCAUGAUUACUUAAGUGAUUGCCCCAUUUUAAGGUCGUAAUAUAAAAUAUUUCCUGUCCGUGCUUACGUUCGCAUUAGUGGAUUGGUGAGAUAUGUCUUGGCUUCAGUUCUUAAAAUGUCCCCUUUUCUGACAUUUUCAGCUCGCGCUUCGCGCUCGCAUCAUUUGGUUAGUGAAAUACGUAUGAUCUUCGUGAAUUCCUACAAACAAGCCUUAAAAUGCCCCUCUUCAGGUCUGAAUUUCCUAAAUUUUCAGCUCGCACAUUGCGCUCGCAAUAUUUAAUUAGUGAGAUGCGUAUGUUAAUAAUCAUGAUUAAAAUGACUGCAAGUGCUUCAUGUGUUUAGAUGUAAUUCUAACAAAAUCAGCAGGCGCUUGGCACUCGCAACGGAUGACUAUGGUGAAAUAUGUAUACUCUUAAUGGAUUCCUAAAAUAUAGUCCUUAAAAUCUCCCUCUUUGGGCUCAAUAUAUACAAAAAUUUCAGCUCGCGCUUCGCGCUCGCAUUGUUUAGCAAGGCAGGUACGUAUCAUGAUUAAAAAUUUGAUUAGAAUGUCCCUUUUUAGGUCUGAAUAUCAAAAAUUUUGAGCUCGCGCUUCGCGCUCGCAUUAUUUGACCAGUGAGAUACAUAUCCGUUUAAUGGCACUGUCCUUAAAUUGUCUAUUAGGUCAAUAUACCUGGCAACUGAGCGCGCUUCGCGCACUCACUAAGUGACUCAAAAUUGUUGCUGGUGCUCCCCCAUUGCCGUGACCCACGGUAGGUCACUGCAAGUCUUCAUAAAUUAUGUAGGGUUAUUAAGUUGCAUUUAUUGUUAUCUUCAUUUAAAAAAAAUGUGAAAUGGGUUACCACUGCAACAAUAAUAUAUAAAUAGACUAUAUUUCAAAAAUAGAUUGAAUUCUAACCACAGUGACAGUAGACAAAUAAAAUUUUGUUAAUGAUUCGCUAAUGUAUUGAUUGAGGAAGGAAGGCACUCUUUAGGUAGAUUCUGGCAUUGUGUCCCCCCCCCCCCCUUAUGAGGAGUGCUCUCACAUCAGUAGACUAUUUCUUGUCAGCAAAUUUGAAAGGAAUUCACCAAUUUUUUUGAGUGACAAACUUUUGUGGAAAAAAAUAAAAAUUAUGCACUUUUGUGGAAUAUUAACUAUAGGGCUCAUCGAGAUCCUUUGAAUGAAAAAUUAACAAACAUUGUACAAUGUAGAAUAAUGUACUUAAUCCUAUUUUUGUACAUUUAUAUACCCACCCCAUACUAUACCCCUACCCAGUAACAGCCCUUUUUAGCUAUGCAUUGCCCUCAUUUUUUAAAAUACAAUUUAAUGCUUGGUAGACGCUUAUUAUUAUUUUUAUGUUAAUGUCAAUGUUUGAGAAAAUGGAUUCCUUAAUAAACAUGUUAAUUUUGAAUU